rnacentral:tRNA from 1 species
UCCGAGGUAGCUCAACCGGCAGAGCAACCGGCUGUUAACCGGUAGGUUGUGGGUUCGAGUCCCACCCUCGGAGCCA